CAGACGCCCAACCAUCUGAGCCACCCAGGCGCCCUAUAAGCUAUGUUCACUGAGGGCCUGGAACCCCUGCUACUAUGGUAGCAGUGAGCACACCUGAGCACCCAGAUCUUGAUUUCUAAAUGCUGAAAGGAGCCAUGGCUCCUUGGAGAAAUGUCCAGCUUUAGGGCUGGGGUAGAGAAAAUAACAAGAUGAACCUGGGACAUUGUGAUUUGCCAGGAAGAAAGGAAAUCUCAAAAAAUGAUGAGUGCAUGUCAGAACACUGGAGCCACUCAAAAGAUUCUUACUGGUCAACUGUGUAUCAAGUCGAUUAUGAAAGUAUUGAUUACAACUAUAUUCAUAUAAAAAUGAGGAGCAGGGAAAGCUUUUAAAAGAACAUCAACUAAGAAAAUAAUGCAUUUGAAAAAUCAUUUUACUAAAGGGAGAAAGUGCAAGUUUGAUGAGCAGGAACAUUUACAUUGUCCUAAAAGUAUUGUGCUCGCUUCGGCAGCACAUAUACAUUGUCCUAAAAGUAUUAACUUGCCAUGUAAUAAUAUGCAUUACUUGCCAGGGGACAUUCUAAAAAAUCCCCAACCUGGACACGCAGUUGGAGAGGUGGUAUGAUCAUCCCCAUUUUAAAGAUUGAAAUACUAAGUUUCAUAGAAUGUCUUUUAAAAUUAAGGAAUUUGAAUCCAUAAAGAACUUUACAGCUGUCAAAA